CCCUUAGAUGUUCUGGGCGGCCCGCGCACUACAUUGGCACUGGCAACAAGAUCCUAGAUCUGGUAUUUCGGGGUAUUCUACCAACUGGUGUCGUGACUGGGAUUAACCCCUGCAAUUAUUGGUUAUGAACGAGGAAUUCCUUGUAAUCACGGUUUAUCAACCCGUGUUGAAUGCGUCCCUGCCCUUUGUACACACCGCCCGUCGCUCCUACCGAUGAAUCGUCCGGUGAAGUUCAUGGAGUCGCGGCUGCUCCAGCUGUUUUCGAAGUGAAAUGGACCUCAUGAUUUAGAGGAAGGAGANGUCGUAACA
rnacentral:rRNA from 1 species